UGCGUGGCGUCCUCCCAUAACGGUUGUCGCUGCUUUGACUUAGAGGCAACUACCAUUAGAGACGCCAGGAGUCGCUACUUCAACAUCCAAUUUACGACUUAAUUCAAUGUGUUACUUUAUGCUCACGGAAGAAUCAUCCGCAGAAAGACCUACGAUAGAGGCGUUCCCAUCACUGACGGGUCCCACGAAGGCAGGGGAGGGGCGCUCUGUACCCUAUUCCUUUCCCAAGAUAUUACUACUACCACUUUUCGCUCACCUGUACAUACUCUCAGCAAACAUCCAAAAUGAGCAUCUGUGACCAGAGGUGGUCGUACACGCUGAGCUGGUCCUUCACAAAGUGGCGCUUGAAGUACCGGUUCUCUCCCACGUACCGGUAAGGCAAGGUAGUAAGGGGAGCACAGUGCCAACACUAUUGGAUCACGGCAGAUCAGUUCUACGGAAGCCUGCAAGGCGAGUAAAAUUGAUGACAGAAAAAUUGCCAUCCACUCGACUGUAGCACGACGCUACAAAGGGAACCCAUACAGGUUUCUCAGAAACCACUAUUAAAUUACAUACAUGGAUGUGCCAACUAACUGUUGCCAAGAAAAAAAACCAGGGAUUUCUGUGAACAGCGCCCACUCUAUGUUGGCAGGCUUGCGUUACUGCUAGUUGAAUUUUUCUUUUUUUUUUUAAUUGCGAACAAGCAAGUAAUACUUAAUGUAGUGAAUUUAUUACCUUAUUCAAUGUAAGGUAGAAGAAGAGAAAAGGUUGGGAGAGAAGAAGAGGACAAAGUGAAAAUAAACAAGGAUGGCUACCUUGUCAAACUGACUUAUCUCAGUUUUAUUUCAAAUUUGUCCUAGUUGGCAGGAUAGGAACCUCUGUUAUACACCUCAUCCCCUUCGUGUUACCGAGGGCCAUGUGCCUAGAUGUCACCCAAACCUGCUCGGACGGCGACAGGCGUGCGAGCAUGGCCAGCUUUUUCCACGGAGGACGGUUUGCUGUAAUGGGUGAGCAGUGAUCCCUUGUUCAGAACGCUCACAAAGACGACCUUUUGCUAUUGGUGGUAUAAUGUAACCAUGCAUGAUCACGAAUGAACAAGGCCAAAUAUCUAAGAAUGCGCAAGACAUUUUUCAUCGUAUAAUGGAACUCGAGCAGAGAAACAGUGAACGCCAGCAACAAAUACUAGCCUGGCCGAGUUUCUAUGAGUACGCGUGCGACCAAAAUAGUUGGCAACAAGACCUUGACAAGGUUAUGAAUAUGUGCUUAUACCUACGAGGCAUAGUGAAAACCUGGCAUGACUUGAGAACCGCAGAAAGAGCACACCGGCCGUGGGCUCAGUGGAGAGACAGUU